UACAACAACAACAUCAACGUGCAAUCAGCAGCAAACACAACAUACACGACAACAUAACAGCAGCAAGCACAACAAACACAACAACAUAUAACAUCUACAUCAUACCAAAAUAAGAUGCUAGCUUUCUUUCAGAAAAAGUUAACCCGUUCUUACGUGCAAACCGAUGAUUUUAUACUUCCACAUGAACAUCAUGACAUUUUUCCAACGAGAACAACGCAUGCCGUGUUAAAGUAUCAGGAUGACACCGUUCACAAGAUGACGUUCAAAAUUGAAAAAAAAUGCUCGUUUAUGCCAAGGGUGGAAGGAAUUUAUAGAUUCAAAAGGUUUGAAAGAGGGAGACACGCUAGAGAUUUGGGUGUGUAAAUGUGAGUGUGGAGAUGGCAUAGGGUUUCAUGUAUUUAAAAAAGAGAUAGAGAUCAUAAAUAUUGACUAGUAGAUCUCUAUUAUUCAAUUGUCUAUGUUUAACAUCUCCAUGUAUGCUACUAUUUUGAUUAAGACAAUGAUUAAUGUUAUGUGGAUGUGAUUUUGAUUUUAA